rnacentral:lncRNA from 1 species
UUGUUGUACUGUAUGUAUCAACUGCACAAGGCAAUCAGCCAAAGAGAGAUUUAAACAUAUGGACUAAAUUUCAUGUCUUUGGAAAACAUGGUAGAGCAAGACAGCAAUAAGCUCUUCCACUCUGCUCUCUGGGGCUGCCACUUGGCUGAGGAGGGGACAUGUUACACCUGGGCCAAAUCAUCCUGGGUCUCCCACUCAAAGCGCCACUCUCAUGUCUGCAGCGGCCUGUGCAAAUAUGCAAAGCCCCCUUUGAAAGCUCUGUGGUGCUGCUUAGCGGUGUUCUUUGCACCUUGAACAAUGCUCACUCACAUGCAAGACCUGCCCAUGGACAUACCAGGAUUAGCAAAGCAAUCCACGGUCCUGAAUUUCUGUGGGUGCCUGCAUUUGCUAUGCUACAAGGGGAAGAGAUUGUCAUUUACAGUGAAAAAUAAAGGUGGUGUUAAUUAAAUUUAUUUUCCUGAGUGCCGACGUCUCCAGACCUCUAUUCCUUUUGUAAGAAAGCUUAUCAGAUGGAAUGAUCACAAUGGCGACGGUGAAAGUUCUACAGGUACGCUUUUUGUACACUCCAUUUUAGAUACAGGAAUGUUAUACUAAAGGAAAGAAUGC